ACUACUUUGGCAGAUAAGUGUAUUGGAUUUAGAAUUCAACAAUGUAAAAAUAUUACAAGUAGUA
rnacentral:tRNA from 1 species